rnacentral:rRNA from 1 species
GGGUGCGGUCAUACCAACACUAAUGCACCGGAUCCCAUCAGAACUCCGCAGUUAAGAGUGUUUGGGCGAGAGUAGUACUAGGAUGGGUGACCUCCUGGGAAGUCCUCGUGUUGCACCCCUUU